UGGUGGAGUGAUUUGUCUGGUUAAUUCCGUUAACGAACGAGACCUCAGCUUGUUGGUUGUUCCGAGCUUUCUUUUGAAAAGUUUUGGAGGAUUGAGAAGGACUGUCGGUGUUUAGCCGAUGGAAGUUUGAGGCAAUAACA
rnacentral:rRNA from 1 species